rnacentral:rRNA from 1 species
UGGACGGAGGGUUUGAUCCUGGCUCAGGGUGAACGCUAGCGGCGUGCCUAAUACAUGCAAGUCGUGCGGGGAACCUCCCUUCGGGG